CUCAUUUUUGCAUGCGGCCCUCUAAAGAGGCCCGUAUCGGAAAAAUCGAUUUUUCCAUACAGGCCACUUAAGCAGCCGCAUGAGAAAAUGACUCUCGAUUUUUGCCGACGCCACUAGUUAUCGUCCGUUUGCAAAAAUCAUGGGGUCUCGUAUAGGAAAACCACUUUUGUAGUAGUGUAAGUUAGGAAAUGUAAAGAUACCAUGUGAGGUUAGGGCCAUGGGGUAGAAUGGGAUGAGUAGGAAAGGAAAUUUCCUGAAAUUAACUCUAAGCUGACCCCACAAAUAAAUUUGGCAGUAGAGGAAAUUAAGCACGAAAAAUAUGAGAAACUCGA
rnacentral:lncRNA from 1 species